rnacentral:rRNA from 1 species
GUCCACGCCCUAAACGAUGAUGACUAGUUGUUGGAGGAGUUAAAUCCUUUAGUAACGCAGCUAACGCGAGAAGUCAUCCGCCUGGGGAGUACGGUCGCAAGAUUAAAACUCAAAGGAAUUGACGGGGGCCCGCACAAGCGGUGGAUGAUGUGGUUUAAUUCGACGCAACGCGAAAAACCUUACCUACCCUUGACAUGUACGGAACCUCAUAGAGAUGUGAGGGUGCUCGAAAGAGAGCCGUAACACAGGUGCUGCAUGGCUGUCGU